GAUGAACGCUGACAGAAUGCUUAACACAUGCAAGUCUACUUGAUCCUUCGGGUGAUGGUGGCGGACGGGUGAGUAACGCGUAAAGAACUUGCCCUGCAGUCUGGGACAACAUUUGGAAACGAAUGCUAAUACCGGAUAUUAUGUGAGUUUCGCAUGAAAUUCAUAUGAAAGCUAUAUGCGCUGCAGGAGAGCUUUGCGUCCUAUUAGCUAGUUGGUGAGGUAACGGCUCACCAAGGCGAUGAUAGGUAGCCGGCCUGAGAGGGUGAACGGCCACAAGGGGACUGAGACACGGCCCUUACUCCUACGGGAGGCAGCAGUGGGGAAUAUUGGACAAUGGACCAAAAGUCUGAUCCAGCAAUUCUGUGUGCACGAUGAAGUUUUUCGGAAUGUAAAGUGCUUUCAGUUGGGACGAAGUAAGUGACGGUACCAACAGAAGAAGCGACGGCUAAAUACGUGCCAGCAGCCGCGGUAAUACGUAUGUCGCAAGCGUUAUCCGGAUUUAUUGGGCGUAAAGCGCGUCUAGGCGGUUUGGUAAGUCUGAUGUGAAAAUGCGGGGCUCAACUCCGUAUUGCGUUGGAAACUGCUAAACUAGAGUACUGGAGAGGUAGGCGGAACUACAAGUGUAGAGGUGAAAUUCGUAGAUAUUUGUAGGAAUGCCGAUGGGGAAGCCAGCCUACUGGACAGAUACUGACGCUAAAGCGCGAAAGCGUGGGUAGCAAACAGG
rnacentral:rRNA from 1 species